CGUGAGAGCGGGAGCCCGGAGAUGGGCACUGAGACAAGGGCCCAGGCCCUACGGGGCGCAGCAGUCGCGAAAACUUUGCAAUACACGAAAGUGUGACAGGGCUAUCCCGAGUGCCAUCCGCUGAGGAAGGCUUUUACCCAGUCUAGAACGCUGGGGGAAUAAGGAGAGGGCAAGUCUGGUGUCAGCCGCCGCGGUAAUACCAGCUCUCCGAGUGGUGUGGAUGUUUAUUGGGCCUAAAGCAUCCGUAGCUGGCUAAGUUAGUCCCUUGUUAAAUCCACCGAAUUAAUCGUUGGAUCGCGGGGGAUACUGCUUGGCUAGGGGACGAGAGAGGCAGACGGUAUUUUCGGGGUAGGGGUGAAAUCCUAUAAUCCCGGGAAGACCACCAGUGGCGAAGGCUGUCUGCUAGAACGCGCCCGACGGUGAGGGAUGAAAGCUGGGGGAGCGAACCGGAUUAGAUACCCGGGUAGUCCCAGCUGUAAACGAUGCAGGCUAGGUGUUUGGACGGCCACGUGCCGUUCUAGUGCCGCAGGGAAGCUGUUAAGCCUGCCGCCUGGGGUGUACGAUCGCAAGAUUGAAACU
rnacentral:rRNA from 1 species